UGAAAUUUUAGUAUCAGAACCUGAAAUCUCAAAACUGUUGUUUCCCUGCCUCAGAAACCCUACAGUAGUUUCUCUGGAGUUAUGAACGUGAGUGUUACCAGACAUGCCUUCAUCUCCUAAGUUCUUCUACCCUCGCCAGCCAUGGCUCUCUUACAAUCGGAAACCAUCUCUUCUAAUAUGUUGUCUUCUUAUUGGGAUUACUGGAUUUUCUUUCGGAUUGGUUGCCAUUUUGAGGCCGAGCUCUGGGCAUAAAUGUAGGAAUGCUGAAUCUAGAUCUGUUUCGAUUGUUUGGGAGAGGAGUAGCAGCAGUGGUGGUGUUGGGGUUCGGAAUCGUGUUGGUUCUGAUGGAGAUCAGGAGAGGUAUAAGGUGAUGGGGUUGUUGGUAUUCAGACCGGUUUUGGAUCUGUUGGAAGGCAUAAGUCGUUGAGGAAAACUUGGAUGCCUUCUGAUCACCAAGGCCUUC